rnacentral:tRNA from 2 species
ACUCUUCUAGUAUAUCAAAUACAAUUGACUUCCAAUCUUUAGAAUCUGGCUCAAACCCAGAGAAGAGUA